AAGGAUCACUAGUGAUUAAAUCGAGAGCGUCUUCAUUGACCUCUCACCCUUCACAUCCACAUACACCUGUGCACCGUUUGGCUCUUUUAAAAGACGUAAGUCUGCAAAGAGAGUCAUCAAUUUUAUACAUACCCCAGUCUUAUGAAUGUAACAGUUUUAAUAAACAAAAUAAAACUUUUAACAACGGAUCUCUUGGUUCUC
rnacentral:misc_RNA from 1 species